rnacentral:misc_RNA from 1 species
GAGAGAGAGAGAGAGAGAAAAGGGAGAGGUUGAUGAGAAAGAGGAGAGUAAUGAAUGGGUUUUUGUAGGAAAGGGUAGAGGGAGGAUACGCUCCUUUAUAGUGACCCUCAACCUACCAUUAAUAUUUCCACUGACAAAAACUUGCUAACAGAGAGAGUUGAGAAAAUGGGCUAAAUAAAUAGUGAAAUAUGAAACCAUUGGGUUAUGCAAGUUAAUGAUCUAGUCUUUGU